GACGAACGCUGGCGGCGUGCUUAACGCAUGCAAGUCGAGCGAUGAAGCACCUUCGGGUGUGAAUUAGCGGCGAACGGGUGAGGAACACGUGAGAAAUCUGCCUUCAACUCUGGGAUAACUCCGUGAAAACGGGGCUAAUACCGGAUAUGAAACCUGCGGGCAUCCGCGGGUUUGGAAAGUUUUUCGGUUGAAGAUGGUCUCGCGGCCUAUCCGCUUGUUGGUGAGGUAAUGGCUCACCAAGGCGACGACGGGUAGCCGGCCUGAGAGGGCGACGGGCCACACUGGGACGGAGACACGGCCGAGCCUCCUGCGGGAGGCAGCAGUGGAGAAGAUUGGGCAAUGGAGGAAACUGUGACCCAGCGACGCCGCGUGCGGGAUGAAGGCCUUCGGGUUGUAAACCGCUUUCAGCAGGGAAGAAGCGAAAGUGACGGUACCUGCAGAAGAAGCACCGGCUAACUAUGUGCCAGCCGCCGCCGUAA
rnacentral:rRNA from 1 species